GUCUGAAUGUGAAAAGCCCCCGGCUCAACCGGGGAGGGUCAUUGGAAACUGGGAAACUUGAGUGCAGAAGAGGAGAGUGGAAUUCCACGUGUAGCGGUGAAAUGCGUAGAGAUGUGGAGGAACACCAGUGGCGAAGGCGACUCUCUGGUCUGUAACUGACGCUGAGGAGCGAAAGCGUGGGGAGCGAACAGGAUUAGAUACCCUGGUAGUCCACGCCGUAAACGAUGAGUGCUAAGUGUUAGGGGGUUUCCGCCCCUUAGUGCUGCAGCUAACGCAUUAAGCACUCCGCCUGGGGAGUACGGUCGCAAGACUGAAACUCAAAGGAAUUGACGGGGGCCCGCACAAGCGGUGGAGCAUGUGGUUUAAUUCGAAGCAACGCGAAGAACCUUACCAGGUCUUGACAUCCUCUGACAACCCUAGAGAUAGGGCUUUCCCUUCGGGGACAGAGUGACAGGUGGUGCAUGGUUGUCGUCAGCUCGUGUCGUGAGAUGUUGGGUUAAGUCCCGCAACGAGCGCAACCCUUGAUCUUAAUUGCCAGCAUUCAGUUGGGCACUCUAAGGUGACUGCCGGUGACAAACCGGAGGAAGG
rnacentral:rRNA from 1 species